rnacentral:rRNA from 1 species
AUUGAACGCUGGCGGCAGGCCUAACACAUGCAAGUCGAGCGGAUGAAGGGAGCUUGCUCCUGGAUUCAGCGGCGGACGGGUGAGUAAUGCCUAGGAAUCUGCCUGGUAGUGGGGGAUAACGUCCGGAAACGGGCGCUAAUACCGCAUACGUCCUGAGGGAGAAAGUGGGGGAUCUUCGGACCUCACGCUAUCAGAUGAGCCUAGGUCGGAUUAGCUAGUUGGUGGGGUAAAGGCCUACCAAGGCGACGAUCCGUAACUGGUCUGAGAGGAUGAUCAGUCACACUGGAACUGAGACACGGUCCAGACUCCUACGGGAGGCAGCAGUGGGGAAUAUUGGACAAUGGGCGAAAGCCUGAUCCGGCCAUGCCGCGUGUGUGAAGAAGGUCUUCGGAUUGUAAAGCACUUUAAGUUGGGAGGAAGGGCAGUAAGUUAACACCUUGCUGUUUUGACGUUACCAACAGAAUAAGCACCGGCUAACUUCGUG